rnacentral:miRNA from 1 species
CUCGCUGUGGGUCCGAGGCGGG